rnacentral:rRNA from 1 species
UGGGGAAUCUUGGACAAUGGGCGCAAGCCUGAUCCAGCCAUGCCGCGUGGAUGAUGAAGGCCUUAGGGUUGUAAAAUCCUUUCGUGGGGGACGAUAAUGACGGUACCCCAAGAAGAAGCUCCGGCUAACUUCGUGCCAGCAGCCGCGGUAAUACGAAGGGGGCUAGCGUUGUUCGGAAUCACUGGGCGUAAAGCGCACGUAGGUGGAUAGUUAAGUUCGGGUGAAAUCCCAGGGCUCAACCCUGGAACUGCCUCGGAUACUGGCUAUCUCGAGUCCGGAAGAGGUGAGUGGAAUUCCUAGUGUAGAGGUGAAAUUCGUAGAUAUUGGGAAGAACACCAGUGGCGAAGGCGGCUAACUGGUCCGGUACUGACGCUGAGGUGCGAAAGCGUGGGGAGCAAACAGGAUUAGAUACCCGAGUAGUCCCUGAGCGGGCUGGCAAGGCGCAU